rnacentral:tRNA from 1 species
GGGGUGUUGUCUGGUGAGACUGGAAGUUUUGCAAACUACCGGGAAGAGUUCGAUUCUCUUACAUUCCACCA